rnacentral:lncRNA from 1 species
AUAUAUUUUUUUAUGAAGUAGCUAAAACACAGCUUCAUUAGCGCACUCAGGUCCUGGCCUUCAUGAUUUCUAUUCAAUUUCGCACGUUACACACUAUCGACUAAUAUUGCCUAUCAUGUGUCUGCAGUGAAAGAAAAGCUGCAGUGCUGGAUGCCCCUCCCCUUGUGGAUGCACACCCUAAUUAAGUUCUGCAGAUGCCCCUGCUUAGAAUGGAAGAAAGUUGAGCUAAUUGCAAAUUCGUGGCCUGGGCCUAGGCCGCCCCCAAGGAGGACCGAAGACCCUGUGUCGUCGUUGCCUGAAGGGAUUGCUGGAUGCCCAAUUGAUCCUGGAGGUUGGAGCUAGCGCGGCCGUCCACCGCGCCGCAGCUUCAUCCGAAGCCUCGUGGCUGUAGUGGUUCCAAGAUGGGCGGCCUAGUUACCAGUCCAACCUUGGGCACUCUCCCAAUUGCUGCACUUAGUUGAGCCAUUAGUGUCCCACCUAUGUUAACUCAAUGCGACCGGCUUCUCACACUUCUCUAAAAGUGCAUACCAGCUUCUAUUUGACUGCUUGCAACAACUUUCAGGACUGACUACACGCACACCAAUUGAGUGUGUGUAGUGAUUUUUAUUGUAGCACACAUUCCAAUUCCAAAAGCAGCAUUAAUUGCUGUCUGCUUUAGGUGCAGCUAAUUACUCCCAUUACGAGGUCACCUUAGCCAAUGUAUACCUGUCGCAGGUCGCCUUCACGUGGGCUAGGCAUAAUUGCACAGCAGCUAGCUGUGCAGCAAAUACCACGUUCAUCCUUGCAUUGAAUGCUUGAAACAAUCUAAAAGUAAACAGCCUCCUUAAAUUAAAAAAUAAUUAUCGUGGCCAUUAAUUUUUUUCAUUUGACUCUGCCCGAGAACAGCAGUACAGAUGCGUACCACUUUUCAUGCCCGGCUAUAAAGACAGUGGUAUGUACCACUUCUUUCUCAGGAUCUAUUCUGCUGAGUUUCUUGAGAAUAAUAUAAAACAUUUUCUUAAGUCAUCCUAAAUGUGGUUCUAAAGAUAACUUGAAGGUAGAGCCUCACAAAGGGUUAAUCAAGCAUUGUCGUUUGCACUUUGAAAUGACUGCACCUCUCCAAACACACUUUUUAGCUUCUACUUUCAUCACCAAAGGCUUUUCAAAGCAUUUCCGGUAUAUCAGGUACUGUUUUCCCCCAACUGCUUCAUUUAUGCUGUUCAAAAAAUUUCAAACCAGUCAAUGCUUUGUUUAUUCAGUGGCUGUAGCCUUUUUAUUAGCAGUGGUUAGAGUGAUGCAGCUAUAAGCAUUGUGCUACUGAAUGUUGCUAUUGUUUACUGCCUCAACUCUCAUUGUGUUCCACUCAGGUUUAGGCACUGCUUGCUUUCAGUGUGUUUUUGAUCAUGCUUCAUAUGAUGCAGUGAAAUGCCCAAGCCACCUUCCCACCUCACCCUCCACCCCACCCCACAUCAUGAAGAAAAGUGGUGCAUUACCUGCAAGCACUGUAGUUUCAGCGACGGAGAGCCUCUGGUGUGAGACAUCCAUUAAAUGGCCGUAGUGCUGCCUCUGAAAUUC